CUGUUAGGGAUCUGUACUACAAGUAAGAACCCCGUUUGCAUUUUUAAAGGUUCUUUGCUCCAUAUUAUAACGGUCCUAGAUGAUCAUUUGUGCAAAACUGUUAAUUGUUUUCUCUUGGGAGCUUUGAUGAGGCUUUUCACGCUACACCAGUCUACAAUCUGCCUGGUAUCUGGAAUUACCUGUGAAUGCUGUAGUUGUGCUACCACUCCGACAUUGUCAGUACCCAAUCACUGCAAGCAACUAGCUAAGCCUGGGAAUGGUGCAGAUAACUGGAGCUCUCUUUAUCAACAAGCUGUUCAUCUCAGUCAUGUUUGGCACCCUUCAAGGUACUCUUGGGAAAUCAGCAUGCAAAACUGGUUGAUGAAUUUCAGAUACAUUUUGUGGGUGAGAAAAGCACUUGUCAACCCCCAUUCUUAAGAGAAGUGAGAAGAUGGAGUUUUUCUGGUAAGGUUCAAUCGGCUUGCUGCAUGUAUCCCCUGUGUAUUGAGAGCAACCAGAUGAAUGUGGAUCACUAUGGGAAUAACUCUCCCAAGAAAAGUCAUUAAAGAAACAAUGACUGUUACUUAACAAAGUAGGCCAGUGUUUUCAUUAAAUAAUAAAUAUGUUGUGAAAUUGAA